AAUGAUGGAAUGACUCUCGGCAACGGAUAUCUAGGCUCUCGCAUCGAUGAAGAACGCAGCGAAAUGCGAUACGUGGUGUGAAUUGCAGAAUCCCGUGAACCAUCGAGUUUUUGAACGCAAGUUGCGCCCGAGGCCAUCUGGCCGAGGGCACGCCUGCCUGGGCGUCAGUU
rnacentral:rRNA from 1 species